rnacentral:rRNA from 1 species
AUUGAACGCUGGCGGCAGGCCUAACACAUGCAAGUCGAACGAGUGGCGGACGGGUGAGUAAUGUCUGGGAAAUUGCCUGAUGGAGGGGGAGAACUAAUGGAAACGGUAGCUAAUAACGAAUACCAUCGGAUGUGGCCAGAUGGGAUUAGCUUGUUGGUGGGGUAACGGCUCACCAAGGCGACGACCCCUAGGUGGGCUGAGAGGAUGACCAGCCACACUGGAACUGAGACACUGUCCAGACUCCUACGGUAGUCCGCAGUGGGGAAUAUUGGACAAUGGGCGAAAGCCUGAUGCCGCCAUGCCGCGUGUAUGAAGAAGGCCUUCGGGUUGUAAAGUACUUUCAGCGGGGAGGCGUUACCCGCAGAAGAAGCACCGGCUAACUCCGUGCCAGCAGCCGCGGUAAUAC